UGCGCAGGCGGAAUAAUAAGUCAGUGGUGAAAUCUCUCGGCUCAACCGAGAAACUGCCAUUGAUACUGUUAUUCUUGAGUAUAGUUGUAGUGGGCGGAAUAUAGCAUGUAGCGGUGAAAUGCUUAGAUAUGCUAUAGAACACCGAUCGCGAAGGCAGCUCACUAAACUAUAACUGACGCUCAGGCACGAAAGCGUGGGGAGCGAACAGGAUUAGAUACCCUGGUAGUCC
rnacentral:rRNA from 1 species